AUCAGUUGCUUAGCCAUACGUCGCCUUUCCAAAGAAUCUCAGCAAGGCGCCGCGUAACAGUAAGUAUGAACAAAUUCAGACUGUGAAACUGCGAAUGGCUCAUUAAAUCAGUUAUAGUUUGUUUGAUGGUAUCUACUACUCGGAUAACCGUAGUAAUUCUACAGCUAUACUUGCAACAAACCCCGACUUCUGGAAGGGAUGCAUUUAUUAGAUAAAAGGUCGACGCGGGUUCUGCCCGUUGCUGCGAUGAUUCAUGAUAACUUGACGGAUCGCACGGCCAUCGUGCCGGUGACGCAUCAUUCAAAUUCUGCCCAAUCAACUUUCGAUGGUAGGAUAGUGGCCUACUGUUAGACCUCUGCCAAUUGAGCUCGACUUGACAAUAAGAGUGUUGUCAUGAGGCAGCAAGAGUGUUGCAAGGCAGGUGCGCGAGUAGCACCAAAGUCAAAAAGGGAAACGGGCAAGUGAUGGCCAAGGCUUUGACGGAGGCGAGGCAGCUUGGCAAGGGCUUGACAAUGAGUUGUGGGCUAAGGGUGACACUCGAUCAUGACAAAGGCAUCAAGGCAUGAGGCAUUGAUGCCAAGGCAAGGCAGAAACGGAAUAGCAAAGGCAAGCAAAUGUGCAACGGGAAUGCAGUGCGCGGGCAAACUUGUUAUGGCAUUGAGUUGCGGCAAACGGGCCAAGUUCGUGGGCGAUGGCAAGGCAAAUUGUGGCACAAUGCAGCUGGAUACAAUGGCAUUGACGCCUGGUCCAAGUCAAGGGACGAAAUUGGGCAGCAAGUCUUGGAUUAACAAAGUCAAAGGCGAUUACGGGCACAUGCUGUGCACAUGGGCAGCAAUUGAAGCUUUUCUAAAAUGCUGACAGGAGUUAGCACGUUUUUGGGGCCAUGAUCCCAUUAUACUUUAGCAUGAUUUACAUGAUCCUAGUAGUUGGGGGUGUCAACUACACUAGACUAAAGUAGUGGGCUGAGUUUGCAAGUGUGAAAGCCUAAAAUUGGGCAACUAUUGUGUAAAUGGGGCUGGUUCAUGUUUUAUAAAUGGACAACACCCAUUCCCUUUGUGGCAUAGAGAGAAAAACGUGUAAGAGUGCAUGUUUUGAGUUAGGAAGAGUCCUAAAAAUCUGUUUUCAAGAGUGAAAACAACCUAAGGCUAAGAGUAGUCUUGUGAGGGUUAAGAGUGAUCUUCAUUUUAGUACACGGAUGUACGUCGAGUUGAGUUUCUUUGUAUGCUCGAGUUAUAUACAAAGUUGGAAAAAGAGUUUCUUGUAUAUUGUGCCUUUUGUUUACGUUUAUUUUCUGUCCCUUCACUAUAUUUUCGUUUUCUAAAAUCAGUAUCUACUUACUACGUUGAAAAGCUACCAAAAUAAUUCGAAGUCCAAAGUUGCUGAAAUUUUGGCCGAGUGUUGGAGCAGGCUGAAGUCAAGUCGAGUCUUGGCUGCCGCGCGGGCUGUUUUUGAGUGACAUAAAACGCGCUCGUGACACCUACCAUGGUGGUGACGGGUGACGGAGAAUUAGGGUUCGAUUCCGGAGAGGGAGCCUGAGAAACGGCUACCACAUCCAAGGAAGGCAGCACUCGCGCAAAUUACCCAAUCCUGACACGGGGAGGUAGUGACAAUAAAUAACAAUACUGGGCUCUAUGAGUCUGGUAAUUGGAAUGAGUACAAUCUAAAUCCCUUAACGAGGAUCCAUUGGAGGGCAAGUCUGGUACCAGCAACCGCGGUAAUUCUAGCUCCAAUAGCGUAUAUUUAAGUUGUUGCAGUUAAAAAGCUCGUAGUUGGACUUUGGGAUGGGCCGGCCGGUCCGCCUUAGGUGUGCAUCGGUCGUCUCGUCCCUUCUGCCAGCGAUGCGCUCCUAGCCUUAAUUGGCCGGGUCGUGCCUCCGGCGCUAUUACUUUGAAGAAAUUAAAGUGCUCAAAGCAAGCCUACUGUCACGGGCUUAACUCAAGUAAGCACGUGCGGACAACUUGACAGCGUAUCUACUGCUUCAAGCUUCAGUCCUAAUGAAAUAACAAGCACAAACUCGUGCUCAAGC
rnacentral:ncRNA from 1 species